CCUACGGGAGUCAGCAGUGAGGAAUAUUUGUCAAUGGGCUUACGCCUGAACCAGCCAAGUCGCGUGAGGGAAGACUGCCCUAUGGGUUGUAAACCUCUUUUGUCAGGGAGCAACGCCGGCUACGUGGAGCCGUACUGAGAGUACCUGAAGAACAAGCAUCGGCUAACUCCGUGCCAGCAGCCGCGGUAUUACGGAGGAUGCGCGCUUUAUCCGGAUUUAUUGGGUUUAAAGGGUGCGUAGGCGGAAUGCCAAGUCAGCGGUAAAAUCGCGGGGCUCAAACUCACUCCGCCGGUGAAACGGGCGUUCUUGAGUGGGCGAGAAGUACGCGGAAUGCAUGGUGGAGCGG
rnacentral:rRNA from 1 species